ACUGAUGACCUAUCCUCAGGAUAGGUCAUCAGUAUCUGAUCGGUGGGGGUCUGACACCCGGGACCCCUGCCGAUCAGCUCCUUCUCUAUGCUUUUCCUAGGCCAGAGGACAAGUCAUCAGUUAAAAAAAAAAUCCUGGAAACCCUUUUUAAUAGGAUUAUUCACUCAAAUAUCAGACUCCUCAUACUCAGAGAGUCAGUGAUGCAACUAUCACACGUAACUUCCCAGAGUCUGGACGAAUGCAGCUGACAAGGGUAAAAUAACCGUCCGGCAUAAUCAUACCUCCAUUUUCACAGCCGCUUUCAUCUUUAGUCACGAGAUGAAAGCAAUGCAAGAAGUCCCUCCUACAUCCCAUGUGACCCCCACAUCCUCAGGCCUGGUAACUGAAAUGCAUCAGGGCAUAGAACAGCAAGGAUCUGAUAACCUUUGUCACACUGACCCCUAGUGGCAGAGUAGGAGUUUACAUGAUAAACAAAAUAGAUCUGCUAUUUCUUUCCCACAAUAUUUUGCGCAUGCAGCAGGUCCUGGUAGAAUGAUUAGGCACCCAGAAUACACUAGAUUUAACAGGGUGGGGUGAGGGUCCCA